AAUCCUCAGUGACAGUGUCAGCAUCUGGCAGAGAAAGAGCCUCCCUACCUAUCAGGAAAUUAUGUACCACUAGUUGGGGCUGGGAAAUGGAACAAAACUUAGAGGUUAAGGCACUGUGUUCCCUUUACUUCUAAUCGAAAGGUUAUAUAACGUGAUUCAGUUUAUUGUAUGUCCCACAUAGCAUUGACAGUCUUGAGCUGAUAAUAGAACACUCUAGCUCAGAAGGGACUUAUAGCAUUUCCACAAACAAAUUGUUGAAUACAGUUAAGAGAGUGUUCCCAUUGAACCAUAAGAUUGCCAGGAAAGAAAAUUCUAUUAUGUGUCAGGAAGUAGAGUGAACUGGGAAUAUUUCAUUUCAGAUGGAGUCUUGUGUGAACCCAAUUUUUGCACUGGCAGAAAGUUUUAGAAGCCAAGUUAUCUACCUUUUUUUUUUCUCAUUUUAUGUUGCAAUUUAUUCAGUUCCUCCUCUCUUGCUAAUAUCUUGUACUUACAUGAUCCUUAAACUACAACUUGUUCUUUCAAGAUAAAACUCUUUCAUAAUUUUUCUAGCCCAGAGUAAUACUGCCUAGACAUCUCUGCUGUUAUCCAUGCUCCUGGUAUCCCAAUUUCUUCCUAAUCUAUUUGUUUCCUGGCCCCAUAAUGAAUAGAAUUUCCAAGUUGAAUUUUUACAAUACUGCUAUUUCACAUGAGACCAUACCUCUCCAACAGUAGUCUGAAAAUUUCUAGCAGCAGUGUUGGCUGAGGGGAAAGCUCAUUUCCAGUCAGGAAGCACACACUGGGUCAUGAUCAUUUAGUUCUUACAGAGCAGUCUCAAAACUCUUUGACUAGCAGCUGAGAUGAAGCUCUUGAAUUUUGCCAUUUUCUAUGAUUGUACUCUCUUAUUGCAUCCAGGAAGUAGAACUUCUCACAAAGAAAUUGAUUCCAUGUAUAAGCUGGAGCAGUAGGUCAAAUCUGAAUGCCUGCCAGAGAAAUGAUUGAAAGUGUCUUACCUUUCCUCUCUUGAGCAAGGAAUCCUAAGUUUUGUGGAGGAUCAAGAGCAGUUCUCUAUAUCUGCACACAAAUCAUCAAACAUUGAAUUAGGUUACUGUCGGAAAUUGGAUACAGUCUUUCUUAAUUGCAUAACACACUUCAGUCACUCAAAUUAUUUAUCAAACUCACUCUUAGCCUCGGUACUCAAAAUUAAUAUAAUCUGAGAGAUGAAUGUAAAGAGGAUUUCAACUCAGACAUGGAAAAUUAGAUAAUAGUUCUAUUUUUUUUUCUUUUUUCCUUUUUCUAAUUGUUAUUUACCCAAUACAAUUUUUUUUUUUUUACUGUACUGCAUGGUGACCCAGUUACACAUACAUGUAUACAUUUUUUUCUCACAUUAUCAUGCUCCAUCAUAAGUGACUAGACAUAGUUCCCAGUGCUACGCAGCAGGCUCUCAUUGCUAAUCCAUUCCAAAGGCAAUAGUUUGCAUCUAUUAACCCCAAGCUCCUUUUUAUGGCUGCACCAUGGCAUAUGGAACUUCAUAGACAGGGGUCAAAUCAGAGCUUCAGUCAUGGCCUAUGCCACAGCCAUGGCAACAAGGGGUCCAAGCCACAACUUGAAGCAGCAACACAGGAUCCUUAACCACUGAGGGAGGCUGGGGUCAAAUUUGCAUCCUCACAGAGAAAAUGUUGCGUCCUUAGCCUGUGGAGGCACAAUGGGAACACCCAUUUUUUAUUUUCUAACAGCACCGUUUGGUAGAAAUAUAAAGUAAGAUAUGAAUACGAUUUUACAUUUUUUAACAACCACCUCGAUAGACUGUAAAAAGAAAGAUGAACUAAUUUUAAUGAUGUAUUUUAUUUAACAAUAUAUUUAUUUUUGCACAUUUCAACAUGCAAUCAAUACAAAAACUUUCAAUGCGAUGUUUUUGCAUCACUUUUUGUUCCAGGUCGUUGAAAUCUGGAGUGUAUUUUAGACUUCUAACACAUUUCAAUUUAGAUUAGAUACAAUUUAGAUUAGGCUCAGUAGCCACAAGGGGUUAGAGGUAGUUAGUAGUUUGUAGAUUUCCCUGUCAUUGGAGAAGUUUGUUUCUCACCAGGAGGGAUUAAAACUUAUCUGUAUCUUCUUGGGCAAAAGGACAACCCACCUAACAUAUUUUGUCACAGUGCCAACACACAGCAAGUGUUCAAUAAAUGUUUACUGAAUGGCUUUAAGCUUCAAUGUACAAAUACUUACAUGUUUAUUUAGCUGCUACUAUUUGCCAGGUAGUUUUCUAAUCACUGGGAAGUUAGCAGGGACAAAAAUACACAAAAUGCCUUCAUGGUGCUUAAAUUUUAGUGGUUGAUUUUUUUUUUUUAAGUUGAUGCCAAAUAAAAUUAAAAAAUACAGAAACAUAAUAUAUGGUGAGUCAAUAGCUUAUGUUUUCUAUGGGUUUCAUAAUCUCGUCUCUGUUAGUGAUCCUCAUUUCACUUAUUACCCAUCAGCUAUUAUUUUGGCUGCCCAGGAUCUUUUACUGCAACCCCACACACACAAGCUUGCCUUCUUCAGAAAACCUAAAACUUCUUACUAUUUUUCAAGUAGAAGAGUGUUUUGGUGUUUCUAGGCCUCUGAUCUUCCUAAACAUCUGUUAAGCCCCUACUCAUAAGUCAAUGCCAGGCUCAACUGAUCCCUUGGCCAUGGAGAUUGUCCUGACCCCUCUUGUUUGUUAUUUAUUCUUUAUUUCUUGCUCAGUAAGACUUUAUGUGGGUCUUGGUUUUGUCAUUUAUUUUGGACUAUCAUUUUAUGCUAAAUCUUCACUAUGAGAUCAUCACUUGCUUUAGCUUUUGUUACUAGUAAAGGGACUGGUACAUGACAUUACUCAGAGUACAUGUAUAAGACGGAUAGUUUGCCUGUCCCAUAUUUUAGUCCCUUAUAAUCCCUCCCCAUCCACAGAUAACUGCAUUCGUGGGUUAUGUGCCACAACUGACUUACCUAUAUUUUUGCCUCUUAUCUGUGUUCCCAUAGGUAGGUGAAAAGUGUUGCUAGGAUGGAGCGUGUUUCACUUCAAACUAUGGGGAAACACCAGGAGAACUGAGUGUAUUGGACUAUACUCACAGUGCUCUCCUCUUCCCAUAUGAAAACCUAUCUUGACCUUGUAUCUGAGUCAUUGCCCAUUAGUCUAUUUUUCCUCCCUCUACUGUUUUCUGGGUAGCAGUGGCUCUUAGACUUUGUGGUUUCCCAAUGCUAAUUCAGGAAGGACAUUUAUGAACUAUUGACUACAAUUUGAAUAAAAAUAACUAGCCAUGUCCCACCCAGCUUUGAAGGCAGCAUUACUCAAUACCUUGAUGAGGCAUUAAACACAAGAAUGCUUUUAGAAAGCUUCAUUGUAAUCCAGACUUGUAUUUAUACAUCUGAGAACCUGUCUGAAUGCAGUUAGACCACAAAAUCCUAAGAGAAGUUGUGGCCUGUGACAUUGUUUAUCAUUGUUGAUAAUCUGUUGCUUUUUCUGGGCUCACUUUUUAGCUCCUAGCUGGGACUCAGGGGGUUUGUGUCUGUAAUUCUAAGAUUUUACCACUAGAUGGUAACACAGAUUUUCCUACCAAAAUGUAAGCCCCUCUGCUCACCAAUGUGAUACAGGUAUAGUUGGGAUAAAUCACAGCUCCGCGAUUCUUUAGAAAAUUACUUCCAAAUUACUGAAUUACAAGUUUAAUAUGUAUUUAAUUGAUCUAGAGACAAAGAUUACAAAUUAAGGAGAAUAUAAUCUGAUCCAACAAAGGACUAACAGUUUAUUUUUCCUUUAUUAUACCUCAGUUUGUCUUUGUUUUUUGCUUUCAUUUAAAUAAAGAAGUUUCUCAUUAAAAUCACAGUAUUUUCAGAAAUCAUACUGAGGAUUUUCUGUGGGUAGCUAGUUCUCAACACUAAGAUUUGAAUUUUCUGAGUACAGAUGGAAGGUAUAGACAUUGGUAAAAUUUAUUAUGUGGAGGAACAAUGAAAAAAUAAAUCACUAUCAUGUAUUCCCUUUAUAGCCAAGUGAACUUAAGAAGAUGUAAUUUUGUUUCUGUAAAUUGAGGAUAAUAGUAAAUUUCCUUUAGAAAUGUUGAUAUUGAAAUUAGAUCGUGCACAUAAAGUUCUUUAUAUGUAGUUGGUGAUAGAUAAAUAUUAGUUCUCUGCUUACCUCACUUUUCUUCUUUCUUCUCUAUGGAUCUGAAAAUAUUAGUUCAUAUAUUUCUUUCCAUUCAACAAUGAAAGCAUAAGACACAUCUCUCAAGUUGUCUUUCAACAUAUCCUUGCCUACAUCCAAGAAGAAUAUAGAAAAUAGCUAAGCAUCUGUAAAUGUGAAACAUACUACUUAGGGCUUGCUAAUUAUUCCAUGUCUUCUCACAUAUCAAAAUAUAUUUUUAUCUUAACAGGUUCCUUCUGGAGAAAAUAUAAGCCUAAAAUAUUAAUCCAAUGGUGGGAAUUCCAGACAAUUGCUUCUUCAACAAGGUUAUAAAUUUAUAGUGUGGGUCAUAUCAUGUCUUUUGAUAUUUUCUUAACACUAACCACUCAAUAGAGCACCCAAAAUGCUCUCCUAAAGUGCAUAAUAAAUGAGAACAAUAUUACUGAGUUCAGUAAAAAGGAAAAUGGGCAUCCCUGUUGUACCUCUGUGGGUUAAGAACCCAAGAUAGUAUCCAUGAAGAUAUAGGUUCGAUUCCUGACCUUGCUCAGUGGUUUAAGAAUCCAGCCUUGUUGUAAGCCGUGGUAUAGGUCACAGAUGUGGCUUGGAUCUUGUAUUGCCCUGGCUGUGGUGUAAGCUUCAGUUGCAGUUCCAAUUAGAUCUCUAGACUAGAAACUUCCAUAUGCUGUAGGUGCAGCCAUAAAAAAGAAAAAAAAUAAGGAAAAUGUUUAGAAAUAAAAAUUGUUCCAGAGAGAUAAAUGGAUUCAAGAAACUGUAGAGGAGGCAAAAGUUUUCCUUCAACAUCUUAUGGUCCCUGGCUAGGUUUGAAAAUUAAAAUGACAAAAUCACAUUAAAAGGACAAAAGCAUGCAAAUUUAUUUAAUACAAUACGUUUUACCUAACACAAGAGACUUCAUAAGGAAAUGAAGACAUCUAAAAAAAACAGUUACACCUUGGUCUAUUUAUACCAGGUUUGAAAAGAGUAUAUGGUUGUGCAGAAAUAUAAUAGAUUGAGAAGUUUAAGUGUAGUCAAAAAGGGGAGACUUGGUAAGACCUGUUUGUUCCCAUUCUUCUCAGCAUCCCUUUGUGUCAGAGUAAGGCUGCUCCUUUCCUCUGGUUAUAAGGAGACCACGAGGGUUGUACAACCCAUCACAGGAAAGAAGAGGAGAAAAUAGCUUCUGCUGCUUUCUUAGAUUCCUCUAGCUUAAAAUAUUCAAUAGGCAAGAUGUCAUAUUGUGGGGUAAUAAUACUUGACGAUAUAGAUUUUGCAUUACCAGAGGGGUUAGACUCAUAUUGCAUUUAAAUCUAUUUUAAAUAAAAUUCCUUAUUUUGAUCUGUAGGAGUUUCACCAAACUAGAUUUUUAAAAUAAAAUUAAUGAUAUGUAAUGUACUAGGUUUCUUUAUGUUGACCUGCAUUAUUUCUACACAUGUGUAUUCUGGACUCUACGUUUACUAGUCCCCAUCUUUUUUUUUUUUUUUUUAAUGUCACAU
rnacentral:lncRNA from 1 species